rnacentral:rRNA from 1 species
CCUACGGGUGGCAGCAGUGGGGAAUAUUGGACAAUGGGGGCAACCCUGAUCCAGCCAUGCCGCGUGUGUGAAGAAGGCCCUCGGGUUGUAAAGCACUUUCAGUGAGGAAGAACGCCUGGUGGUUAAUACCCAUCAGGAAAGACAUCACUCACAGAAGAAGCACCGGCUAACUCCGUGCCAGCAGCCGCGGUAAUACGGAGGGUGCGAGCGUUAAUCGGAAUUACUGGGCGUAAAGCGCGCGUAGGUGGCUUGAUAAGCCGGUUGUGAAAGCCCCGGGCUCAACCUGGGAACGGCAUCCGGAACUGUCAAGCUAGAGUGCAGGAGAGGAAGGUAGAAUUCCCGGUGUAGCGGUGAAAUGCGUAGAGAUCGGGAGGAAUACCAGUGGCGAAGGCGGCCUUCUGGACUGACACUGUCACUGAGGUGCGAAAGCGUGGGUAGCAAACAGGAUUAGAUACCCCAGUAGUC